AACGCGAAGAACCUUACCAGGUCUUGACAUCGUAUGCAUAGCUCAAAGAUGAGUGAAAUCCCUUCGGGGACAUAUAGACAGGUGGUGCAUGGUUGUCGUCAGCUCGUGUCGUGAGAUGUUGGGUUGAGUCCCGCAACGAGCGCAACCCUUACUGUUAGUUGCUACGCAAGAGCACUCUAGCAGGACUGCCGUUGACAAAACGGAGGAAGGUGGGGAUGACGUCAGAUCAUCAUGCCCCUUAUGACCUGGGCCUCACACGUACUACAAUGGCUAUAAACAAAGUGAAGCAAAGUCGCGAGGCGGAGCAAAACACAAAAAAUAGUCUUAGUUCGGAUUGUAGGCUGCAACCCGCCUACAUGAAGUCGGAAUUACUAGUAAUCGCGGAUCAGCAUGCCGCGGUAAAUACGUUCCCGGGUCUUGUACACACCG
rnacentral:rRNA from 1 species